rnacentral:tRNA from 1 species
AUAACCUAGUGGUAAGGCUAUGGACUGCCAAUCCAGAGACGGCGGGUUCGAUUCUCGUU